rnacentral:rRNA from 1 species
UACGUAGGGUGCGAGCGUUGUCCGGAAUUAUUGGGCGUAAAGAGCGUGUAGGCGGCUAGGUAGGUCCGUUGUGAAAACUCGAGGCUCAACCUCGAGCUGUCGAUGGAAACCAUCUGGCUAGAGUCCGGAAGAGGAGAGUGGAAUUCCUGGUGUAGCGGUGAAAUGCGCAGAUAUCAGGAAGAACACCCGUGGCGAAGGCGGCUCUCUGGUACGUGACUGACGCUGAGACGCGAAAGCGUGGGGAGCAAACAGG